rnacentral:lncRNA from 1 species
ACAUUUAUUGACAAAACAGACUCAAAGGUUUCAAAACCAAACUUGUGGUUACGAAAGGGGAAAUGUUGGGAGGAGGGCUAAAUUAGCUCAGUGGAAAUUAAUCCGACUAGGAGCCAUGAGGUUUCAGGUUCGAUCCCUGGCCUCACCCUGUGGGCUAAGGAUCUGGCGUUGCCGUGAGCUGUGGUGUAAGCUGGUGGCUACAGCUCUGAUUAGACCCCUAGCCUGGAAACCUCCAUAUGCCGCGGGUGCGGCCCUAAAAAUACAAAAGACAAAAGACAAAAAAAAAAAAAAAAAAAAAAAAAAAAAAGGUAAGAAGCAAGGACCUACCACAUAGCACAGGAAAAGCUACUCAAUAUUCUAUAAUGACUUAUAUGGAAAAAGAAUCUGAAAAAGAAUGGAUACGUGUAUAUAUAACUGAUUCACUUUGCUGUACACCUGAAAUGAACACAACAUUGUAAGUCAACUUAUGCCCAUAAUAUUAAAAAGGAAAAAAGAAGAAGGAGUUCUCCUGUGGCACAGUGGGUUAAGGUUCUGGGGUUGUCACUGCAACACCUUGGGUCACUACUGUGGUUCAGGUUCAAUCCCUGGUCUGGGAACUUUCACAUCCUGUGGGCGUGGCCCCCCAAAAGAAGCAGCAAAUACCUUCUGUGGUUUCCAAGCCUGGCAGAGCAACAGAGGGAUUGAUUUGCCUUCUGAUGGGAGACAGAGGACAUGUGUUAAUCUUUGCCAUGAUACAGGAAAUGGAGAGCAGGUGCUGAAGCCCCCACCAGGUGAAAGAAGUCAACUGUGUGCUGCCUGCAAGAAUGUAGACCCCAGACUGGUUGAAACCAGAAGGUUGAUGACACUGACUCUCAAUGACCUCACCACCCAUCAGUCAGGAAAAUGUCCACGAGCUGAUCAUGCCCCGCUCCUCAAACACUGUAAGACCCUUCACUACCCCCUCCAAGGUGGGCAGGGGGUGGGGGGCACAGUCCUUGAGGCACUAGCCUGCUGUGUACCCUCUUUGCCUGGCAAUGAAA